GUCUUUCACAGCUAGUCCUUGCGUCUGGCUGGAUUAGUUUAGCAUUUGGUUACAUUCACGCCAUGGCUUGUGUAUAUAAUAUCACCCUUUUGUAAAUAGUUUAUUUAGGUGAUUGAUCACAGCUGGCCUUUGUGUUUUGCGGGGCUUCUGAUGUCCCGGGCAACGUCUGGCACCUGGACCUUCUUAGAUUGUAGAUUUUAUUUUUUGUUUCUUUAUGACGGGCCACAGUGGGCGUAAUUCUCCCGUCACUCUCGUAAACAGGGAAGUAUGUUUAGGUAUAGUUAGGUUGUUAAGAGUUUAGAGAUUACGUUUUUAUUCCCAGCAUGUUUGAGACACAAGAGACAUCAGCAGAGGAUGAAGACGAAGGACGACUUCUAUCAAUCAAAACCAUUGUUCCACAAUCAGCCCCAGGAGGAGACGCCAGCAGAGGAAAGAAACAAUAUUAACCAAAACAAUAAUCCACUGAUGGAGAACAAGGAAGAUGGAAGAGUACCAUCAUCUACCAAUGGAGGAGGAGGAGGAGAAAAUUGCGGGAGCACCAGCAUCUAAAAGUGUCCCACAAUCAGCCUCAGGAGGAGAUAUCAGCAGAGGAAAGAAAGACUAUUAACCAAAACAAUGUAAGUAAAACUUCUCAUUUACACAGAAAGACACUCACAUGUUUAAUGUAUAAAUAGACGUCACGUUUUACUAACACCUGUAAAAUGUUGGAGAGGAACGCCAACAUCCACUGAUGGAGGAGGAGAAGAAAGAUGGAGGACGGGAGUGCCAGCAUCUACCAAUGGAGGAGAAGAAAUACUGUUAUUAACCAAAACAAUGUAAGUAAAACCUCUCAUUUACACAGAAAGACACUGAUCACAUAUUUAAUGU
rnacentral:lncRNA from 1 species